AGGAAGGAGCAUGGAGAAGACAAGAACAAGGCUCUCAGAAGGAACUGGUGUGGCUGGAGCCAUGACAACUGGUUGUGGAGGGGGUGAGGAGGGCAAAUAUAAUUUCUGACCUAUGUAAUGAUGUAUGCACAAGAAGCCUCUCUUGAAUGUAUUAAUUCAGCAAACAGUUAUGGAGUCCUUACCAUGUGCUAGUGGGACUUUGAAGAUGAAUCCAAAUUUGGAUCCUGGCCUGGAAAGGCUCAAAGCCCAAUAUGGGAGCCUGGAUACAAAUGUGAAACUUAUCUUCUUUUAUUAACCAAUCAACCACCUCCUGCCAAAACAACAUCAGCAACAACAACAAAAAAAAACAAAAACAAAAACAAAAAGAACUCUGUGUACACAAGACCUUUGUUUCCACAGCAGACUUGGCUAAAGGUUUGGGCAUGCAUAUGCAUACCCCCAAAAUUAAAAAUGGAAAAUUGAA
rnacentral:lncRNA from 1 species